CUUCUUCUCAGGCUUAACUUCCAAUUUCUCCGCCUCUUCCCCACCCAGUGGUGCAGGGGGACAGGACAUGGGAGUUGCAGUCUGUUCAUCACACGUUUUCUUUGCCACUCCUUCUCCUUUAGGAAGAAGACUUAAACUCUUCACCUGCUCCACUGUGGGGUCCCUUUCACAGAAAGCAGUCUUCCACAGAUUUCUCCAACGUGGGUCAUUUCCAGGAGGUGUAGUUCUUCAGGAAUGGACAGUUCCACUGUGGGUUCCCCACAGGGCCUAAGUCCCACCAGCAAACAUGCUCAUAUAUGGAGUUCCCAUGGGUCUUUACUAGCAAGAUGAGCCUUCAGGAAUGCUAGCAAGAUGAGCCUUCAGGAAUGCCAGAGACUACAGGCAGAGUUUAGAGCAAGGAGGUUGUGCCUUUGGUGGAAGAAGACCAGAAAGACUGCAAUAACCUGGAGAAAAGGGUGACAGGAACCUCAUGGAGCUCAACAAAGACAAUGCAGCUUUUCCUAGCCCCUUUUCUAACCUUGUGUUAGACCUAAGGAAGCCCAUCUGAUCUGGCUGCCAAGAUGAGUCAGCAGAAGAGCCUCUUUAUUUCUCCACAUGGUCUGAACCACUGACACUUCCAGAGAAGAGAAAUUGUUGCUUAGACACUGGAAUUUCCUUUGCUGCAGUCAGGAGAGGUGGGCUGGGGAUUAAAUGAAUUUGAAAGAACAUUCUUGUGGGGAGUUGUCUGCUGAAAUGCCAGAAAUUCAGUGCGAAGAGAAGUGCAGAAAUAAAACUAAAGUCACAUUUCUCUAAUUUCAGAACAUGUCAGGAAAAAAACAAAGUAUCUUUAUCUGUGUGUAUUUAGGUUGCAUUCUGCCUGUAGUCUAAUUCAAGAUAAUACAGGGAGAGAAAAAAUUGAAGCCACAUCACAUCCAUAGAAAACUCUGGCACGUUUAGCAGACAAGACAGUUUCUAGCUUCAAGAAGCAUGAAGAUUUGAGUCACAUUUCUUGGAUGCACUCAUUCUCUUGGCAAGCAGUACAUGCCAUAGUCCUCAUUGUUGAGAAAUCUAAAUCCCCUUUUACUUCAACAUACCCAUACUCAGUCUAAGAUGGCUUUUGACCUUUUCAUAAGUGAAAAAGUAUCGUGCUG